rnacentral:misc_RNA from 1 species
CACGCCGCCCUCGAUCGUCUCUCUUUCUCUCGCUCUCGCUUUGCCCGGGCAAGAAACCGAAAUGCACAAGCAAGCUCAAGCCCACCCCGUCUCUGGCUCCCUUCCCCCUCCAAACCAAGACAGCAAGAAACCAUCCAUGGCGUGCCGGCAAGGCGCCGGCGACGCCCGCACCCACAUCGGCGCCGAAGAUCGUCUGGCGCCCGACGACGACUUCGAGUUCUGCAUACUCUCGUCCGGCGGUCUCGCGCCGGUCGGGGACGACGCGCCCGGCAUGUGCGUGGCCGACGAGGUCUUCUACGGCGGCAAGCUCCUCCCGCUCCGCCUCUCCUCGGCCGACGCGGCCGCACUGCUGCUGCUGCGCUCGGACUCGCUGGACGGCGCCGCGACGGCGUCCGCGUCCGCGUCCACGACCACCAGCAGCGGCUUCAGCUCCCGCUCCGUCAGCCGCGGCAGCAGCAGCAGCAGCUGCUGCGUCAGCCGGAGCACGUCGUCUAACAGCGCGCGCUCGGACCACGCCGGCCCGGCCGGCAGCGGCAGCUCGUCGUCCGGCAAGAGCGCGUCCUCCGCCGUCCCGGUCCCGGUCCCGCCGCGGCGCUCGCCAUCGGGCAGCGUGUUCUACGCGCACCCGAGCCCGUCGCCGCAGCGCCGAAGCCGGACGGCCGCGCCCGCGCCGCCGCGCCGCAGCACGGGGUCCGCGCCGCCGGUCGCGUGGGGCGUCAUACGCCUCGGCGUCGUCGGCGCUCCCGAGGUGUACGCGCCGCGCCCGCGCGCGCCCGCGUCGAGGAGCGCGAGGUUCGAGCAGCGCAGGCCCGCGGACAAGAAGCUUGCCCUGGGGCUGCUGGGAGCUGGCCUGGUGUGCUCGUGCUCGCCUGACGCCGUCGCACCGGUGGGCUCGGCGGAGGUGGCGGCGACGAGGCGCCAGAGGAAGAAGGCGGAAGAGAAGAGAUCGGCGACGGAGCAGAGUGGGAAGGGCACUGCUCGGAGGAGCAGGAUUCUCGAGUGGCUCGACGACCUCUCCGUUUCCAAGUAGUUUUAGAUGGAUAGAGAGAUCCUAGUCUCCAUUUGUUCAUUCUUUCAUUUCUUCUAUUGUAUCAGCCACUUUCAUUCAAUUCAACUGCAAUUGAACUGGUUCAUUUCUCAAUCAAGCCAUCAGUUGAUUUCUCGGUGAGCAAGCCCAUCAGAAGCACUUAGGGCAUGUUUGGAAACGAAAGAUUUCAAAAUCAUAGUAUUAGAAUACUCGGUUUUAAGAUGUCAUCAUAUAA